UCCGACCUCAGAUCGGACGAGAUUACCCGCUGAAUUUAAGCAUAUCAAUAAGCGGAGGA
rnacentral:rRNA from 58 species